GUGCAGCAGGCGCGAAACCUCCGCAAUGCACGAAAGUGUGACGGGGUCACCCCGAGUGCCAUCCGCUGAGGGUGGCUUUUGCUCGGUGUAAUGAGCCGAGUGAAUAAGGGGAGGGCAAGUCUGGUGUCAGCCGUCGCGGUAAUACCAGCUCCUCGAGUUGUUGGGACGAUUAUUGGGUCUAAAGCGUCCGUAGCCGGCCGGAAAAGUUCACCGUUAAAUCCGACGAUUCAAUCGUCGGGCUGCGGAGAAUACUCUUCGGCUUGGGGGCGGGGGAGGUCGGCGGUAGUCCCGGGGUAGGGGCGAAAUCUUAUAAUCCCGGGAGGACCACCAGUGGCGAAGGCGGCCGACUAAAACGUGCCCGACGGUGAGGGACGAAAGCUGGGGGAGCGAACGGGAUUAGAUACCCCGGUAGUCC
rnacentral:rRNA from 1 species